rnacentral:misc_RNA from 1 species
GCACCUAUAGAUACAUCAGAGUCAGUAUAAUUACACCUUUUUAUUAUAGUAGCUUUCUUAAGAUCCAGGAGUGGCUCUAUCAUCCGGUCCAGAUAGCAUAAUAUUGCAGUCGUAAGCAAAUCUUCUGGCCAGCAUAAUGGCUGCAUUUCUUUCUCUCUCCGUUUCAAACGCCAAUACAAAGGAGAGUCCAGUCUUUACUUGCCAAAAUGCUGCCUGAGCUGCAGCAUUUCCACCACCUCGGACGCCACAUAACUGCAUUGAAGUGGAAUAGUAUUCUUUUGCUAUGCUGGUCUUCCCUUUACAUAGUUUCAUUCUCAUCCUUCCGAUGUGAAGUACAUGGAUAGUCUCUGAUGUAUGAUCUGUUCCAUUCAUCUGGACAACAACUACAUUGAAUUCAAUGUCAUGCCUACGCACCAAAGCUUCAACAUAGUUCCCCAAGCCUGCAGCCGGAUCAAUAGGACCAGCAGUCG